CUCCGCCUCGCUCCUCUGGCUUUAUUUUUCAUCCCUAACCUUCUGGCAUGGCAUUGAGGCUAGCUUGAGCGUCUUCUCGGCUACUUUCCUCUCUUCCUACCUCCACUCCCAGUCCCAGCGCCGUUCUAUAUAUCUCAGUCUCUCUCUUUAUAUAUACGUUGCAAUUAGCUAGCUCAUAUUCAUCGUCAGCGCUUCACCUUCCACCACUCUCGUUCACCAUAUCUUUCACCAAGCAAACGUGCACCAGGGAAGAGGAGUUAGCUUGCAUUAUUUCUGCCCUCUCAUUCCGCCGUCCGUCGUUCGCCGUCGAGCGAGGACGACGUGGUCGAGCCGCAUGGUUGACCGGCCAUAGGGUUCUUGCAUUUAUCAAGGCUAGAGGCCAGGGAAAAGGAGCUCACGCAGCUGAGGCGGCGAUGAGCAGGAGGAAGAAGCCUCCGGAUGGACAGUCAACCGUCGCCACUCUUGAGAUUCUAGUCUCCAGAGCCUUUAUUUGGAUUAGAUGGUGCAGGAAAAGAUGGUGCAGAAAAAAAGGUUAGUGA